AACUUAAAAAAAAAAAAAAAAAAGAAUUGCAUUGAACUUAAAAAAAAAAAAAAGAUGAUUUUACCAGAUUUUUCUCCAAGGCACUCAGCUUGCUUCUAGCCCAGGCAAAUGGGAUCCUUCCAGCACACAUACCAUGUGUUCCGAGUUGGUGGGUGUAAGGCUGUAGAGUCAACUUGACCCAGCUAGUGAGAGAGGGCAAGUGUGUACGGUCAUCUCCACCUUCUGCUCCAGCAUCUGUGGUCAGUGGAGAUGUUAGUAGUUGUGGGAUCAUCAGUCUUCAACCUCCCCCCAACCCCCACUUUUCCCCACUCCCUUUCUCUUCCCCCCCCCACCCCUAACGUGCAUAACUGACCCCAGGCAUCAUCUCCCCUCUUCCGUCAAGCGUCCUGUGUGGCCCAUCACAGUGAAGGUGCCCUUCUUCUGCUGAAAGCAGGGCCUGCUAUUAUCCACACCUCUCCCCUCCUUCUCAUCAAAUCCCCUCAUCAAAUCCUCUCCCCUGUGCAUUCCUCUUGUGUCCACCCGCACCACCUCUACUCAUUACUCUCACCCCCAGGGGAGGCAACCUCUAGUCCUGCCCCUCCUCAUCUUCAGGCCUCCCCUACUCCGGGAACCCAGGACAGCCAGUCUGUGCGCCCACAACACCCUGUGCUUACCCCUGUUGUGAGCCAGAUUGCCCCUCUACUAAACCAUAAGCUCACUAUCUCUCCUUCACUCUUGUCUCCCCAGUGCUCAACCCAGACCUGACACACAGUAGAUGGCCAAUAGCUAGCUGAUGAGUCAAUGAGUGAGAUAUUUAGAAGAAACGUGGAAAGUUGAGCUUUUACUUGAAGAGAGGUAUUGAAGGUAUUAAGAUAUUUGUAAUUUUUCUUGCAGAGAUUUUUUUGAGAUGUAAUUAACAUUUCCAUCUGCCUUUGUCUUUUUCAAGUUUAUAGCACUAAUAUGUGGAAUUGAUACUUUAUUAUAAUGACAAAGUGCUUCUCUGGUUGUUUCUCAUUCUGUAAUCUUCACUGUAUAUUGAUAGAGAGACUUGGAAAGAAAGCAUGUGUUUUGAAUUCCCUUGAUUGCAUGUGACCCUUAUGGUGUCCCCCACGGUGCCAGGACCAAGGCAGGCUUGAUCAGAGCUGGGCUCAAACAAGAGUUGGCUCUUGGAGGAAUUAGGCAGCUUGCUGGAUUUGCUAGGUGAAAAUGGUUCUUAGUAGGGAUGCCAGUAAAUGUUGGAGAAAGAUCAGUGCUGGGGAAGCCAACACGGGGACAGCAAGCCAGGAACCAGGAGGAGACGGACCAUGCACAUAAGGCUUGUCAGAGACACAGAUUCCAACAAGCGCAGCAGAGGUGGUAUGAUAGCCAAAGGAUCUUCCAUCUGAACCAGGAUUGGCCAUGUAUUUUAAUGCUGGUCUAUGCAAAUGGUAAGGAGUCCUUUAAAAGCCGUGGCCCAGGGAAGCCUGUCUGUCCUGUGCAGGCUUGAAAAAGCCCGUUCCAAGGACGACCAAGGAUUUUCAACAGAUGAGAACACUGACGCACAGGGUAGCUUCGUGAUUUCUUCGAGUUCACCAUACAAGUUUCUGGUGGUGUAGAGGAUAAUGACUGGUACUACAGUCUGGUACCACUGCCUCGAUUCGUGGUAAGGUGGCAGCAGUUUGACCAACUAUUGCUUUUGCCUCAUUAGUGUAAAUGUCAACCAGUGAAAAUGGUACGUAUUCUCUUCAUAUUAUUCUGAAGAGUUUUGACCUUGCAAGACUCUACCAAAAUAUCUCAGAUGUCUCUAGACGUCCAUGGCUCAUCUUUUGAGGACUAUUGGACUAUGAUGUUCCUAGCUGUCAUUUUCUUCCUAUUUAUCCUCUUUGGAAUUUUUUGGUAUUCUUGGAUAUGUAAGUUUAUGUUUUUACUAAAUAUGGGGAAAUUUCACUCAUUAUUUUAUCAAACGUAUUUUUUCAUAUUCCACUCGUUUUCUUCAUGUGAGACUUAAUUAGAUAAAUGGUAAAAUAUUUGACAUUGUCCCUUGUCCCUGAGGCUGUUUCAUUUUUUCCCCCAGUUUUGUUUUCUCUUCUUCAGUUUGAAUCAUUUCUACUAAUCUAUCUUCAAGGUCACUGCCUCUUUCAUCUGUCAUUGUCAAUAUGCUUUGAAACCCACUCAGGGAAAUUUCAUUUUUUUUUCACAUAGUGUGUUUUUGCUUCUAGAAUACUUUCUUAGAAUGCUAAAAUAGGAAAUAGUAUGGUAGUAAAGAAUAUUUUACUUCUAGAAUAGAACAUUUGGUUCUUUUUAUAGUUUCUUUUUAAAUGUUUACUUACUUUUGAGAGAGUGCAAGUGGGGGAGGGGCAGAGACACAGGGGGACAGAGGAUCCAUAGCAGACUGUGUA